UACGGAUGGAGCAAAAGUUGUUCGGAAUCACUGGGCUUAAAGCGUGCGCAGACGGCCAUGAAAGUCAGGUGUGAAAUCCCGGGGCUUAACCCCGGAAUUGCAUUUGAAACUCCAUGGCUAGAAUCCCGGAGAGGUUAGGAGAAUUCCGAGUGUAGAGGUGAAAUUCGCAGAUAUUCGGAGGAAUACCAGUGGCGUAGGCGCCUAACUGGACGGGCAUUGACGCUCAGGCACGAAAGCGUGGGGAUCAAACAGG
rnacentral:rRNA from 1 species